GUGAGUGAGAGAGGACACAGAGGCAGUACAGGCGUCCCUGCAGGAGAUGGCCGUGGAGUGAGAACAGAGCAGUGGCUGGAGGGGAUGGGAAGUGGAGGGAGUUGGACUUUGUGUUUGAUUAACAAGCAACCUUACCCCAGAUCCCUCAACUUCUUCAGCUUUCUUCCAUGUUCAGCUUAAAAUGUCCCUUCUACUAAGAAGCUCUUCCUGAAUGCUAUGCCAGGAGGUGUCUUUGUGAGAAGUAAGCACCCUCUGAGCUUACUCAUGUGAAGUCCAUGGGAAGACAAAGUGAGAAGAUGGAUGGGGUCUUGUCUUCCCCAGGAAUUGAAAUAGCCAGCACCUUGAUCUUGGACUACCCAGCCUCCAGAACUGGGAGAAGUACAUGGCUGUUGUUGAAGUCAGCAAGGUGUCCCCUGACAGCAGCCCAAGCUCACUCAUCCAGCCGCUCUUCCACAUCUUACCAAAGGGCGUGCCCUUGCCCUCCCCUCACGACAGGGAGCUUACUCCGUCCUUGAGCAGCCCACCCAUCUUGGAGGGGCUCUGCUUAUCACUCUGAAGGAGGAAGAACUGGUGUUGUGAACUUGCACAGAGUGGUACAAGCUCCUUCUCAGUGAGUCAUCUGGAAGAGAAGGCUGACUCCUGUGAGCAGAUAUGAAGCCACAUCACUGUGGAGGGAAAAGCUGGCACUCGGAACUGUGGAAGGAAGCCCUGCUGCUUAAAGGGGGACAGUCCCCAGGAAGCCUUCCUGAUCCCCCAGGCAGCAGCUCCCUCCUUAGUGCUUGCCUCCUCUGCUAUGAACAUGCCAGAUUGUGGCCAUCUGUGUCCAAUGCUGUGAGCUCUUAGAGGUGGGACCUGUGACCAAGACAUCUGUGUACUGUCUGUCCCAGCGCUGGGUUUGGUGUGGUGUGAGAGCAUCCAGGUCCAUCUCUGUGAAGUCAUGAAUGUGCUGGAAUUGAACCUAGUCCUUUUUAUUUUUUAUUUUGAAUGAGGACCUCUUAGUGAGGAGGCUGGAACUUGUGAUCCUCCUCCCAGGUGUGAACCACCGCGCCAGCUGAUGCACUUGUUUUUUAAGGAUUCUGGGACUGGAAAUGACCUUUCUGGUCAUUAGACGUUUGACGGAGAUGACCAGGACAGCAACAUCCUGACUGAAAAGAUCACAUUCAAUGCCUAGAAGGCCAAGUAGGUAAAAUGCAAGAAUCCCAGGCUGGACAUCAGAAGUCCUGCUGUACACCCCCACCCCCAAGUCCCCGCACUUCCCUCCCUGCCCCUUCCUUCUCCCAGAGCCUUACAGGAAGACGUUGUUGCUGUCUGUGGCAGGAAGCAGUGCACACAAAGAGACAGUUCCACACCUUGCCCGGGCUCCUCCCUUUCCCUCCUCUC